GAUAGAUUCCAUACACAUCCUUCAAAAAUAUUUAGUGAGUUCAUCAACAUACUACUCCAAAGAACAUAAAUUGGAACUACAGAAUUUGAUUUUUGAUUUUUCCAACUACUUUAUAUAAUUGAUUUGAACAUAAAAAAACAAAAAAUUAGCAAAACAAACAAACAGAAAAAGUAUUCUUUGAAGAAAUUCACUGUAAUUUCUCAAUUUUCGAUUUGGGUUUCAGAAAUGUUUGUUUUUUUCCCCAUUUGUGUUUGAGUUAAUUUCUGCAACUUGAUUCAAUUUUGGGUGAAAAAACUGUACAGUUUGAUAUCCGGGGUGAUAAUGAAUACCCAUAUCUAUUCCGGGCGUGGGUAUAAUGGGUCAGGUAAUCAAUCGGACUAUGGGUUUGCUUUCGACGAUAGCAACUUUUCUGAUCGGGUAUUGAAGAUUGAGGUCGUACCGGACUUGCCGGAACUGAAAACGGAGGAAGGUUUGAGUUUAGUUGUUGAUUGGGCUCGGAAACGGAAGCGAAGGAGAGAAGAAUCAACAGAAGAGGAAAUGGUUUGCUAUUCUCAAUUUUAAUUUAGGGCUUGUUUUUUUUUUUUUUUUGAAUGCUUGAUUGAUAUUUUAAAAUCUUUAGAGUUUUGGGUUUCUGUUAUUAUUCAUUACAUUUUAAAAAAAUCAUCUUUUUUUCCUUAUUGUUUUCAUGAAUGAUACAGAAUUUUUGUUAUAAGAGAGAACAACAACAAUAUACCCAAUGUUAAUGUGUAUCCGUACAGUGUGAGGCAGUCUGAGGUGGGUAGAGGGUACGUUAGGUCUAAGGUGGGUAGAGUGUAAGUAGACCUUUAGAGAGGUUGUUUCCACUAGACCUCGCCUCAAGAUAAAAACAGACUAGAAAAAGAUGUUAUGAAGUACAAGAGACAAUAGGUAGUAAAACAAUAGACAGUAGCACUAGAACAAAAUAAUACUGCAAUCGAACUGUACGAAACAAUAGACAUCAACAAAGUCAAAGAACAAGAAACUACAAGCAUAGCACUAAGACUACUAGUAAGAGCACCAAGAUAACACACUCCUACCUACUAGCAUGAACACACUCCCCAAUACUUCUUCGGUCUAUCUUUACCUCUCCUAAAUCCAUUUUUAGCUAAUCUCUCACACUAAUCCUCAUCACAUAGCCGGACUAUUAAAUGAAAUAAAAUGGAUUUUUCACUUCUUUGUAAGGGUUUAACACCUACUUCAUUAAUAGAUAGGGUUUAACUUCUUUUAUUCUAUUUGGUUUCUGGUCUAUACAUAUAAAGUCGGUUUUUUCAUGUGGGAAUUUCUUUUUGGUUAAUGGAUGGAAAAGACAGUUUACAAAUCCAAAUGGAGUGGAAGCGAUGUAGAUGAAUCAUAUAGCUAGACUCAACUAGUUUAGAGUUGAAUUAUAAUAGUAGUUGUUCUGCGGAAUUAGAGUCGAAUCUAAGAUUUGUAGAACAUGAGUGCACUUCUAAGCAAAGAAGGAAAAGAUGUUUUAAAGGAAGAAUUGAUCCCUAGUCCUCUAGGUAAAUAAGUCUACAUUCAACCAAGUGCAUCAUUUAGUCUUCUUGUAGGAUGGGUGCCACGUGUCAACAUUUAAUAUUAUACCCAUUUUUGAAAAUAUAGAGACAAAAUACCUAAUUUUUUACAAAGAGACCACGAGUUCACGUGCCCCAGUUUUAGUGCAUAAAUUUGUCCGGGGCGAAAGAGAGUUUAUGGAUUUAGUGCUCUUUUUUCUUUGCAGAUAUAGCUACUGCAAUUUUCUUCUUCAAUUUAGAGUUCUCUUUUUUGUUAAAAUAAAGGUUAGAAUGGAUGAGCAUUGAUUUUGUUGUUGUUAAUAUACUAUGAUCUUGCAGUCCCUCUUCCAGUACAAGUGUGUUUGCCAGUUAAAUUUUGUCGCAGAUGCUAUAGUUUUUAGAUGCUGCUAUUGUUUGUUGGCUGUUUGAAAUCACAGCGGACUUAAUUUGUGUGGCUGAUCGAAAAUAUUCAUUCUCAAAAGUUUGUGGCCUAUUGAAAACAAAAUAUGCUUCGUCUUGUAAACUUUCCCUAUUAGUUGUAUAUUUGGGAGUUCUGCAAACUACUUGACGUUUCCUAUUUAUUUUCUUCCGUAUGCUUAUCUCUUUCACUUGUAAGAUGCGGAUAUGGUCAUGCAACAUGAUGAGCAGGUUGUAAAUUAUACUGCUCUAGAAGUGGAAGAAGGUCUUGCUGAUGAUGAACGGGAAGAAGAAGCUUAGUAAUGCUUGAUGAAUCGCCUUCUUGCAUAGUGAUGACUACAAAUCUCCUCGGCGAUGAAGAAGAGUCUGAAAAUGACGAUUCAUCUACUGACAUGGAGCCCUCAAACCCCCUUCGUGUGAGAACUUUACAUAUCUCCCCCAUAUUGGUGGCUCAGAGUCAAUUCUUUUACAAGUUGUUCCCAAAUGGUAUGAAAGAGUCGGCGUUACGGCAGAUAACUAUACAAAUCCAUGCGUCGGAAGAAGCUGCGCUCAUGGAUCUCUUGAAUUUUAUGUAUAGUAAUACUUUUUCAGCUACAACACCUACUGCUGUGCUUGAUGUGAUGAUGGUUGCUAACAAAUUUGAGGCUGCGUCAUGCAUGAAAUACUGCAGCCACUUACUGCGGAAUCUAAGCAUGACGACUGAAUCAGCAUUGCUCUAUUUGGAUCUUCCUUCCAAUAUAUUAGUGGCGGAUGAAGUUCAGCCGUUAACAGAUGCUGCAAAACAGUUUCUUGCUCAAUGUUUCAAGGACAUAACCAAGUUCCAAGAAGAUGUAUUGAGUCUUCCUCUUUUGGGAAUUGAGGCUGUUUUGUCAAGUGAUAAUCUUCAAAUUGCUUCAGAGGAUGCUGUCUUUGACUUUGUGUUGAAGUGGGUUCAUAUGCAUUACCCAAAACUUGAGGAACGACGGGAAGCAUGGAGCUCACAUCUUCUUCACCUCAUUCGAUUCCAUGCAUGACAUGCAGGAAGCUGAAGAAAGUCGUGAUGUGCACUGACUUUGAUCCCAAGCUUGCUUCAAAGCUUGUUUUCGAGGCUCUUUUUUAUAAGGCCAAAGCACCGUAUCGGCAGCGUUCAAUUGCUGCCGAGGCGGGGAAUGCGUUGUACCAUCGUUAUGUGGAGCGUGCAUACAAGUACAGACCUAUUAAAGCUCUUGAGUUUGAAACGCCUCAGCAGCAGUUUGUUAUAUACCUAGAUUUGAAAAGAGACGAAUGUGCUAGCCUCUUUCCAGCUGGUAGAGUUUAUUCACAGGCUUUCCAUUUGGGUGGACAGGGUUUUUUCCUGUCAGCUCAUUGCAACAUGGAUCAUCAAAGUGCAUUCCAUUGCUUCGGGUUGUUUCUGGGCAUGCAAGAGAAGGGGUCUGUGUCAUUUGCAGUUGAUUAUGAGUUUGCAGCUCGUAUCAGUCCAGGUGAGGAAUAUGUGAGCAAGUACAAGGGAGAUUACACCUUCAUUAGUGGCAAAGGCUGUUGGCUACAGGAACCUGUUUGGUGUAGCUUGGACCCCGUUUUUGUCUGAAGAGAGUUUAUUCUUCAUCAAUGGAAUUCUCCAUCUUCGCGCAGAGCUUAGAGUCAGGGAAUAGAAAGCCAGAGUCCUGGAGAUUUUUUACGUUGUAAUAGUAUCUUACUUUCUUGCUUAAAGUGCUCCACAUAUGAGCUAGAGUUUUGUGGGUUAUAAUGUUUUUUGCCUGUUGCCAUAGUUGCACUGUUGUAAAUUAGUAAAAUCAAAUUUGUUGAGUAGUUUCAUAUUUUGAUCUUUUAAUGACUUUGAUCAUGCUGAUUCCAGUUGCUUUGGGAUGUGUAUUUAAGUACAUUCCAUCGAAGCUUCAAAUUCUAUUUUGGUUGUGGAUGCCAAUUCUGCUAGAUCAUCAAUGCAUCACAAGCUUUGACUGCCUGCUGUGUUUGAACUUCUAGCAUACACAGUAAAUGUUGGUUUUCAGAUUGACCUAAUGCAGGUACUCUUUGCGGCUCGGGGUGGCAGAAGAGAGCAAUGCCACCCUUUCCAUUAAGCUGUUGCGCACUACAUUCUAUAACGAGGAUCAGAAGGCUGGGUAACGAGGAAAAGCUUGGCAGAGCGUCCUGAGAUAACAAGACAUCGAUGUCCAGUGAUGAGAAUGGCAACAUCCUCGUGUAGCUGCUCGAGAUGCAGGAAUGAAACUCACAUUAGUGAGGUUAAGAAGCAGGACAUUGUGGGAAAAAGGUGCAAACUUCAGUGGAUUUUCAAUUCCUCCAAGAACAAUUCCAGUGCCUUAUGUCAAAAGAAUCCAUAUCGUGUACAACGAUAUGGGGAACUUGUCUACUCAUUACUUCAACAUAUCAGGUUACAAUCUCUUGACUUCUGUUAUUGGUUUCAUUGUUUAUGAUGCACCAUCACAUAUUAGCACCAUCACAAGUCUUAGAAAGCUUGAUCUUAGACCAAUGGGGCAACCUAUAUCGAUCGAGUUCAAGAAUUUAACAGAGAUGAUCAAGGGAAGAAGCACAACAAAGUACUGUGCAAUGUUUGAUGAAAAUGGAAAAGUUUCACUUAGUGAAAUGAGGUUUCACAACUUAUGUUACACAAGAAAUCAUGGUCAUUUCACUAUAGUGUUACCUUCAGGGACAAGGAAGAAGAAGAGAAUAUGGGGUUUUUUGGUUAUCGGUUUCGUUAUCGGGCUAUUAGGUGUGGGAUUGGUGGCUGUUGUAGGAAGGAUGGUGUUGGGAGUUUAUAAAUCCAAGAAAACAUGCGCAAUGGAAAGGGAAGCAGAAGAAGGUGAGAUUUUGGAAAGUGUUAUGGUUGGUAGAAGCAAAAUGCCUGUUGCUAUGGUUGCAAGAACUCACCCAGUACUUGAAGGACCAUGUUUUCCAUAGUUUAACGUCAACUUGUUUGAGACUGAGACGUAGUUAUCAUUACAUUGUUUUGUGGUUUUUAAAGAUAAACUCUUUUACUUUGUAAGAACCCAUUUUGAUGAGUUAUCAUUUGUUUCUUUUUA